rnacentral:rRNA from 1 species
CGUGUAGGCGGUAAUGUAAGUCAGACGUGAAAUCCUUUGGCUCAACUGAAGAACUGCGUCUGAAACUGCAUGACUAGAGUGCAGAAGAGGGAAACGGAAUUCCCGGUGUAGAGGUGAAAUUCGUAGAUAUCGGGAGGAACACCGGUGGCGAAGGCGGUUUCCUGGUCUGACACUGACGCUGAGGCGCGAAAGCGUGGGGGAGCAAACAGGAUUAGAUACCCUGGUAGUCCACGCCGUAAACGGUGGGUACUGGGUGUGGGAGGUGUAAUGCCUUCUGUGCCGAAGCUAACGCGUUAAGUACCCCGCCUGGGGAGUACGGCCGCAAGGUUGAA